UUCGUAGGUGAACCUGCGGAGGGAUCAUUA
rnacentral:rRNA from 9 species